AUAGUUGGGUAUCGACCUUAAAUAAAGAAUCAACAUUUCUUAAAAAUAAUUAUGGCCCAAUAGAUAUAAUUUUUUUUUUUGGGGGGGGGAGUGGAAUUUUAAUGUAAUUUCUUCAUUGUACAUUUCUAGUUGGAGUUUUGCCCUAAUUCUUUUUAGAAGGUGAUGUAGGCUUGCUAAUCCACAUGGGUUUCUUAAGAAAUGUAAAAUACUUUUCAGUUUUACCAAAUAACCCCUGCAGAUGUGCAGCUGAAUUUAACCAAUUCAGAAAAUUUUGAUUUCUUGUUAGGAAAUAUCCUUUAUUCAAACUUCAAAAAUAGAUGAGGAAAGGAUUAUGUUUCCAAGACUGUGUUUACAAAUCUGAAUUGAUUUUUUUCUCAAAUGUUCAGGAUGCAGAAAAUUUACAGAUUUAAUUUUAUUAAGCUGGAAUAUCAUUACACAUGUUUUAGUGACUCAGAAUUGAGUAAAAUCUAACAGAUAAAUUUAUAAACUAUAAAUGUGUCCAAAUAAAUUUUUGUCAGAUUUUUAAUUGUGACAAUGCAGUUUUGAUUUAAACUUGUUUUUGCUGAAUAUGAUAGCUUAAUUGCAUUGCAUUAUAUAGGCUUAAAGCAAAUAUUUUAUAUAAAGCUAAACCGGGUACUUUUAGGCAAACAUUAAUUUUGCCUUCACUUAUGUGCAAAAAUGUUUCCCACUUAAAGGAAAGCAGCUGAAGGAAUCUGGAUUGGGUAAUUUGGGCUGAACUGUUGAAAGUUGUUUGUUUAGGCAUUGAUCCAGUCAAAACUUGUGCACAUCUUUAACUUUCCACAGUCUGUGUAGCCUGUGGGACCUCUACUGAAAUGGAUAAAGUAGCAAGCAUGCAACAUCAUUCCCAAAUUGGAUGUACGUACCCUACUGUCACGUGCACUUGAAUUAAAAGUGCAUUUAAGUGUGCUUGCAAAUAGAAGAUCUGUGACUCUUUAGAGAUUACCUGAUCUCACCAAAACACCCAGCUGACAGUCAAAAAUGAGAUUUCCUUUCUUGUCUAUGCCUGGGGGGGGGAGGGGGAGGGAACGUUUUGUUGCUUUUAAUGCGAGCUUCAUUGGAUUGGUUUGUCUCUCUGGUGCAGUCGUGACGCAGUGUUGUGUUUUAUCAGUGCCCACCCCCAGCAGAAUUCUUUGCUUAAGAGGAGGCAGAUUUUCACCUACAGAAUAAGAAUCAGGACUCGCAUUGAUGCUUCUCAGUGUUGUCUUGUGUGCUCUCCUGUGCCGGAGUGAAUUUUAUCCCCGGACUGCCUGGUACUUCAACCUGUAUUUCCAAUCAGGAGAGAAGGUUGGUAGAAGAACUUAGCUCCUUUUUCUCUUGAAACAACUUUUAAAUACUGGGUGAGUUUUAAAGACUUUUCUGCAUGUUUUUCUUUUAUAAAACAUGUUUUCUGUAACCAUGAACACUUGUUUUCUCUGAAUGGAUCUUGAAAAUCUUUAGUAUUGAGUCAUAAAAACUACUUGAUUGUUAAAAAGAUUUUGUUCAGUCACUGAAGGAUAAAAUUGUCCUUUAG